GAUGAAGAACGCAGCGAAAUGCGAUACGUAAUGUGAAUUGCAGAAUUCAGUGAAUCAUCGAGUCUUUGAACGCACAUUGCGCCCCCUGGUAUUCCGGGGGGCAUGCCUGUCCGAGCGUCAUUGCUGCCCUCAAGCACGGCUUGUGUGUUGGGCCUCCGUCCUCCUCCCGGGGGACGGGCCCGAAAGGCAGCGGCGGCACCGCGUCCGGUACUCGAGCGUAUGGGGCUUCGUCACCCGCUCUUGUAGGCCCGGCCGGCGCUUGCCGACACAUCAAUCUUUUUUCCAGGUUGACCUCGGAUCAGGUAGGGAUACCCGCUGAACUUAAGCAUAUCAAUAAGCGGAGGA
rnacentral:misc_RNA from 1 species